rnacentral:rRNA from 1 species
AGAACGAACGCUGGCGGCAGGCCUAACACAUGCAAGUCGAACGCUCGUAGCAAUACGAGAGUGGCAGACGGGUGAGUAACGCGUGGGAACCUUCCCAGUGGUACGGAAUAGCUCAGGGAAACUUGAGGUAAUACCGUAUACGCCCUUCGGGGGAAAGAUUAUCGCCAUUGGAUGGGCCCGCGUAGGAUUAGCUAGUUGGUGAGGUAACGGCUCACCAAGGCGACGAUCCUUAGCUGGUCUGAGAGGAUGAUCAGCCACACUGGGACUGAGACACGGCCCAGACUCCUACGGGAGGCAGCAGUGGGGAAUAUUGGACAAUGGGCGCAAGCCUGAUCCAGCCAUGCCGCGUGAGUGACGAAGGCCUUAGGGUUGUAAAGCUCUUUUGGCGGGACGAUAAUGACGGUACCCGCAGAAUAAGCCCCGGCUAACUUCGUGCCAGCAGCCGC